UCGGGAAUUUUGGGCAAUGGGCGAAAGCCUGACCCAGCAACGCCGCGUGAAGGAUGAAGUAUUUCGGUAUGUAAACUUCGAAAGAAUAGGAAGAAUAAAUGACGGUACUAUUUAUAAGGUCCGGCUAACUACGUGCCAGCAGCCGCGGUAAUACGUAGGGACCAAGCGUUGUUCGGAUUUACUGGGCGUAAAGGGCGCGUAGGCGGCUUGACAAGUCACUUGUGAAAUCUCUGGGCUUAACCCAGAACGGCCAAGUGAAACUGUCAUGCUAGAGUGCAGAAGGGGCAAUCGGAAUUCUUGGUGUAGCGGUGAAAUGCGUAGAUAUCAAGAGGAACGCCUGAGGUGAAGACGGGUUGCUGGGCUGACACUGACGCUGAGGCGCGAAAGCCAGGGGAGCAAACAGGAUUAGAUACCCACGUAGUCCCUGAGCGGGCUGGCAAGGCGCAU
rnacentral:rRNA from 1 species